rnacentral:rRNA from 1 species
GACGUAGGGUGCAAGCGUUGUCCGGAUUUACUGGGCGUAAAGGGCGCGUAGGCGGUCUGUUAAGUGGGAAGUGAAAUCUCCAGGGCUCAACCCGGAAACUGCUUUCUAUACUGGCAGGCUGGAGGGAUGCAGAGGUGUGUGGAAUUCCUGGUGAAGCGGUGAAAUGCGUAGAUAUCAGGAGGAACACCCAUGGCGAAGGCAGCACACUGGGCAUCAUCUGACGCUGAGGCGCGAGAGCGUGGGGAGC